rnacentral:lncRNA from 1 species
CAACAUCACCAAUAUUUUAUAAGGAUGCAACAUGCAAGAACAUUGCUUUCUACUUUUGUUGUUGUAUUUUUGUUUUGUGUUUGUUUGGCAAAGCAAUUAUGAUAAAGAGCAAAGAAGAUAGAGUUUAUAAGGCUGAAAGGGAACUGCAGAAAUCUAUUUUUUCCAUUGACAGAAGUACGCUUUUAUACAAGAAUUUGAGCAACUAACAGUCUAAAAAUCUGCAGAAAAUA